CUGGCUUGGGGGUCCUUCUGUAUUCCCUGCUUGUGAUGCACUUGGGCUUCUGUUCGGCGCUUCUUUUGCUUUCGUUUCCGCUGAUCUUGCGGGUCCUGUCUGGUGUCUGUGCUGCCUGCCUGUCUGGUAAAUGUGUUUGGGUUCAUCCUCUAGUUUUUCUUUCAUUGUGCUGUAUAUGUAGGCCUUCUUGAAGAAGGCUCUAAAUGCCGCUUUCUUGAAUAAGGGAGGGUCUGGCAACCAAUUUGGUAUGAUAAUAGGUUGAUAUUGCGGUUUUCUAUAAACUGAUGAUGUUACAUUGCCGUUACUAAAGUUUAUUUCUAUGUCUAGAUAGUUAAUUUUGGAUUUGCUUAACUCCAUUCUAUUUAAGGUCAAUCCGUAAGCCAGUAGGGUGAAAGCACUUUCUAGGUCUUGCACGUUACUUUCUUCUUCCCACACAACUAAAAUGUUAUCUACAUACAUACUGUACAAUUUUAUGGCUGGGUUUAACUUCUCCAAAGCUGUUUCUUCAAUUUGCUUUAGUAAUAUUUCAGUUAGGGGGUCUGCAAUCAAACUCCUGAUUGGGACAUCUUUCGUUUGUUUGAAGAAGUUUCCUUUAUAUGAGAAGUAUGACUCAUGGCAGAUCAGGCUGGUGAGCUCCCUGAGGAAGGCUGCAUCUGUGUGUUGUGUGGGUGUGUGCUCAAGCAGGAACCUGUAGAAUGCCAGAGACACUAGUUCUAAUUUAACUGACGGAUAAAGA
rnacentral:lncRNA from 1 species